GGAGAUGUAGCUCAGAUGGUAGAGCGCUCGCUUAGCAAGCGAAAGCUACGAGGAUCGAUACCCUGCAUUUCUA
rnacentral:tRNA from 1 species